rnacentral:rRNA from 1 species
AUAUUGCACAAUGGGCGCAAGCCUGACGCAGCGACGCCGCGUUAGCGAAGAAGGUUUUCGGACCGUAAAGCUCUGUUCUCUGGGGAGAAAAAAAUGACGGUACUAGAGGAGGAAGCCCCGGCUAACUACGUGCCAGCAGCCGCGGUAAUACGUAAGGGGCUAGCGUUGUCCGGAUUUACUGGGCGUAAAGGGUGAGUAGGCGGUAACGUGUGUCAGAUGUUUAAUCUAUGGGCUCAACCCAUAUCAGCAUUUGAAACUACGUAACUUGAAUGCAGGAGAGGUAAGUGGAAUUCCUAGUGUAGCGGUAGAAUGCGUAGAUAUUAGGAGGAACACCAGUGGCGAAGGCGACUUACUGGACUGCAACUGAGGCUGAGUCACGAAAGCGUGGGGAGCAAGCAGG